rnacentral:tRNA from 1 species
UGUGGCUCAGGGGUAGAGUGCUUGCCUUGCAUGCAUGAGGCCCUGGGUUCAAUUUCUCAGCA